GAGGACGAUGAGUGGGGAGAUUUAGCGAGACAUUUUGAGGGGUGUAAAUGCUUGAAGGUGGAAAACCAUCAAGUCGGGCAGGAUGCGAGGAACCAUGGCUGGUGAGGUGGUCCGUGCGGUCGUGUGGGGACGACGCGUUUAGAGAGUAAGGCAGAACAUUUUCGCGACAACGGUGUGGUGGUUGCGGAAAGUGUUGAGGAAACAAGGUGGGAGUUGGGGUGGGGUGAGGUGGGAGGUUGUCAGCCGACAAACCAGCGAGCGAAGG
rnacentral:misc_RNA from 1 species